AAAAGAGCCUCUUGGACUGCGCCAAAUGGGCACAGAGAGGCGGAGAAGCAGGAAUGUUACUACCUGGCCACAGAGACAGAGAACUGCACACCUUGCAACCUGGGCACAGAGAAUCAAGCCUCGUCCAUGCUAAACCCACAUUUGCCCAGAAAUCAGAAAGGCAUGUACCUUGUAUCCUGGGCACAGAGAUUCUGAGUAGCAG